rnacentral:lncRNA from 1 species
AAAACCAUUUGAGAUAGUUUUAAUUAUGUGUAAGGAUAGCUAUCCAUUUCAAAAAAGCAUUUUCCUAUGUAUGUAUCUACAAGUUAAUAUUCUCGAGAUUACUGUUUUCUCAAAUUUACAGGGGCUAAAACAAGAAAACUAUUGAACAAGUAUUAGAUUGGAUGAAUAGCCUAGUGUUAGCGCACAUGGUUGGAUCAUUAUGUCCAAAGCAGUGUUAUAUAAACUCAAGUUUUUGUUCUUUAAUUUUUCUGGGAAACUCUACUUUUAUUUAUCGUUUAAUAACGCCAUUUGUAUUGGUAAAAAUGCUAUAUGAAUGGUAGAUGGCGGAUUUAGAUGUAUGAUUGGUAGGGGGUUGUAUAAAGUAAAAGCUUACAUUAUUUAACUCAACUACUACUGUACUCAUCUUUAAAAUAUUUAUUGUUAUAUAAAAUAAUAUCUUAAUAAUUAUGAUGUUGGAUUAAUAUUUUUAGAUAUAUUAUUAUAAUGCUUUUAUUUUAUUUUUAAUCUUUGAAAAUAUUUUAUUUCUAUUUCAAAAUGAAAAUUGUUUAGAUUCGUACACUUAUAUAAAAAUGUAACACAUAGAAG